CCUUGACAUCCAGAGAACUUAGCAGAGAUGCUUUGGUGCCUUCGGGAACUCUGAGACAGGUGCUGCAUGGCUGUCGUCAGCUCGUGUUGUGAAAUGUUGGGUUAAGUCCGCAACGAGCGCAACCCUUAUCCUUUGUUGCCAGCGGUUCGGCCGGGAACUCAAAGGAGACUGCCGGUGAUAAACCGGAGGAAGGUGGGGAUGACGUCAAGUCAUCAUGGCCCUUACGGCCAGGGCUACACACGUGCUACAAUGGCGCAUACAAAGAGAAGCGACCUCGCGAGAGCAAGCGGACCUCAUAAAGUGCGUCGUAGUCCGGAUUGGAGUCUGCAACUCGACUCCAUGAAGUCGGAAUCGCUAGUAAUCGUAGAUCAGAAUGCUACGGUGAAUACGUUCCCGGGCCUUGUACACACCGCCCGUCACACCAUGGGAGUGGGUUGCAAAAGAAGUAGGUAGCUUAACCUCCGGGAGGGCGCUUACCACUUUGUGAUUCAUGACUGGGGUGAAGUCGUAACAAGGUAGGCGUAGACGU
rnacentral:rRNA from 1 species